AUACGGAGGGGGUUAGCGUUGUUCGGAAUUACUGGGCGUAAAGCGCACGUAGGCGGAUUGGAAAGUUGGGGGUGAAAUCCCAGGGCUCAACCCUGGAACUGCCUCCAAAACUAACAGUCUAGAGUUCGAGAGAGGUGAGUGGAAUUCCAAGUGUAGAGGUGAAAUUCGUAGAUAUUUGGAGGAACACCAGUGGCGAAGGCGGCUCACUGGCUCGAUACUGACGCUGAGGUGCGAAAGCGAGGGGAGCAAACAGGAUUAGAUACCCCGGUAGUCC
rnacentral:rRNA from 1 species